CCUACGGGGGGCUGCAGUGGGGAAUAUUGCACAAUGGGCGCAAGCCUGAUGCAGCCAUGCCGCGUGUGUGAAGAAGGCCUUCGGGUUGUAAAGCACUUUCAGCGGGGAGGAAGGCGUUAAGGUUAAUAACCUUGGCGAUUGACGUUACCCGCAGAAGAAGCACCGGCUAACUCCGUGCCAGCAGCCGCGGUAAUACGGAGGGUGCAAGCGUUAAUCGGAAUUACUGGGCGUAAAGCGCACGCAGGCGGUCUGUCAAGUCGGAUGUGAAAUCCCCGGGCUCAACCUGGGAACUGCAUUCGAAACUGGCAGGCUAGAGUCUUGUAGAGGGGGGUAGAAUUCCAGGUGUAGCGGUGAAAUGCGUAGAGAUCUGGAGAAAUACCGGUGGCGAAGGCGGCCCCCUGGACAAAGACUGACGCUCAGGUGCGAAAGCGUGGGGAGCAAACAGGAUUAGAUACCCUUGUAGUC
rnacentral:rRNA from 1 species